UUACGCCCAGUGAUUCCGAGUAACGCUUGCACCCUCCGCAUUACCGCGGCUGCUGGCACGGAGUUAGCCGGUGCUUAUUCGUUAGAUACCGUCAUUAUCUUCUCUAACAAAAGGAGUUUACAAUCCGAAAACCUUCAUCCUCCACGCGGCGUUGCUGCUUCAGGGUUUCCCCCAUUGAGCAAUAUUCCCUACUGCUGCCUCCCGUAGGAGUCUGGACCGUGUCUCAGUUCCAGUGUGUCCGAUCACCCUCUCAGGCCGGAUACCCGUC
rnacentral:rRNA from 1 species